rnacentral:lncRNA from 1 species
GCCACUCAGCUCCGCCCCUCGCCCCGUCCCCCCGAGGGAGGGCCGCCUCCUGAUUGGCCGCUCGAGCGCCAGGCAGGAUGGGAUUGGAAGCCAAAUAUGGGCGGGAGAAGAGGGGCCAGGCGCUGGGCCUCCGGGAGGGAGACGCAACCCGGGGGCUGGGAAAGGCCCGAGAGUGUUGUUUUGGAUUCCUAACGAAUUUCCAGUGAAAGAGAAAUGGAGAGACAAGACAUUUUCAGAUCAUGUCAAAUCUUGUACAUUAAAAUAAGGUAACCAGAAAUUAAAUAAGGACAUAUAACAUGCUCAGGAGUGCUAUGAAGAAACACCACAGUCAUGUGGACCUUUGUUUUUGUUUGCCUUCCUGUGUGUUGGAACUGCACUUCAACGUUCUAGAUAAAACCAGAGCCAUGAACUUGAACUGCGGUUUGCUUUUAAAGAUGUGUGUAUCAGUUAGGAAUGCUUUGGCUGGCAGUGAAAGGCAACUGACUAACAGCAGUUUCACAGAGACUAUUUUUCAUACAUUAAGAAAAGAUCUGGAUGGGCAAUUGCUGGUGUUGGCUCAACGCCUCAGUUUCUGGGCUGGCAUCUUCCAGACGCUUCUGACCUUUUCCUUCCAGUCACCAGUGAUUAAAACAGCUCCAGCAACAUAGGUUUACUACAAAGAACUCAGAAGAGACAGAAAAACAAAAGAACUUCUAACAACCUACAGUAUCCCUCCUCCAGAUGCAAAUACUAAGAUGCAGCUACUACUAGUUAUGCUUGAUCCAUCUGGAUAUUUUAAUUUCAAAAAUUAGGUCUACUUUGCGUAGUGCUCUGUAUUAUGUCCUUUUAAAAAAUGUUAGCAACAGGGGCACCUGGGUGGCUCAGUCGGUUAAGCAUCCGACUUCAGCUCAGGUCAUGAUCUCACAGUUUGUGGGUUCCAGCCCCGCAUCAGGCUCUGUGGGGACAGCCUGGAGCCUGCUUCGGUUUCUGUAUCUCCCUCUUUCUCUGUUCCUCCCUGCUUGCUCUCUCUCUCUCUCUUUCAAAAAUAAAUAAAGACAUUUAAACA